GUUGAUUUUGCGCCGACAUUGACCGAUGUGUAACAACGUGCAAAUGGGGUUGGAGGUGAGCGUUGCAGCAGAAAGAAGAAAUGAAUGAUUUCCUUUAUUGUACUUCAGCAGACUGGAAAAGAAAAGAAAAAAAAAUUCUUAACA
rnacentral:ribozyme from 1 species